AAUAAAAGAAAUGAAAUAAACAAACGAAGGGAAAAAAAAAAACUUAAGAGGCAGUCGAACAUGAUAAAGGAGAGAAAGAGGAAGAAAGAAAAGAGAACGAGAAUGAAAUCAUGGUUUUGGCUUUUAAAAUGUGAUUAAGAAUAUGAAGUUGAACUAAGGUUCAAAGGUAGAAGAUGAAAUUAGAAGUUUGAUUUUCCCCUUCUUGAAGAACUCAAGUUUUUGUGGACCUGGGCCAAAGGGCCUUUUGGUCCCCUUUUUUGUUUUCAUUUUUUCACGGUUUCCACCUCAGAAAUUAGAAUCAUGGAAGUGAUGAAACCCUAAAUCAAAGCAGCGCCUUCAAUUUCCUCCUCCGUUCGUUUGGUUCCGACCACCGUCACGGUGGAUUCUCAUUCUCUUCACCAUUGAUUGGUGUUCAGGCCACCGUCAAUGUUGAUUUUUUGAAGUCAUUUACCCAUCAAGGUUUGGAAAAGAAAGGUUGCACAACAAUAUCUGGCUGAUUUUGGUGUUCCAUAUAUGAUUAUAAGGUACGUCGGUUUAUGUCUAUACUUAGACAUAUAUAGAAAAUUAGAAGAUUACACACUAAUCAUCCAUUGCUAGUUUGUUGAUAUAUAGAAAAUUAUCUGAUUCUAGUGUUCCAUUAUUCCAUAUACAGUAUGGCUGAUUCUAGUUUGUUGAUAUAUUCUACAUUGUUUAAUGAAUUGUUGUUUGUUAUUAAGAACAAAUUGGAUGUUGAGAGCUGUAAAAACUUAAAAAAUAAAAGUUGUAACCCUUUGUGAGCUAGAAUCAACAAGAAAUGAAUAAAAAAUUGUAGAGAAAAAACAAGAUAAGUAUUAAUACCAGAAUCAAAAUCAAAUUUUGAACAGAGCGUAUGAGAACUAUGGAGAAAAACCAUAUCACAAUGAAGCUAGCUUACUACAAUGAACCCAUUUCGUAGAGCAAAGUAAUUAGUUUUUGAAAUUGAAUUAUAGAACUACCGCAUAAAACACACUUAUAUAUGAUUCAUGAUUAGUGCAUGUGGUUAAAACAUUUCAUGGUUUUUAAGUUUUAAGGAAUUUUUUAUUUCAAAUUUUUAACUUAAGGUUAUAUGUUCACAUUUCAAAUUAAAUUCAAUUUAUAUAAUUCACACUUAAUAAAUAAUUACUACUAUCCACAGCAAGGGAGAAUAAUUAUUCCAUAAUUUCAAAUGACAAACAGAAAAUCAAAUUGACUUGUCCUCUAUUUAUGGCAUAGUUCUUCGUUGGUUUUGUGUUUUAUGUUAUAUUAUGGGAUUGAUUUGUGUUUAGAUGCUUUUAUUCAAAUUGAUCAUCUAUGAGAUUGUUUAGUUGUAUGAUAUUUGUUUAAAUGCAAAUGAACUUUCUUUUAGAUUAUAGUAUGGAGUCUAUGGAUAUAAAUGUGAAUGUAGAAGAUGAAACUCCUUUUGUAGUAUUUGGAAAUAUCGAUGAUACAUGUAAGAAAACAAUAUUCACUGUUUGAAAUUUUUUUACAAAAAUUGGUAAAGAUGAAGAUGAGAUUGAAAAAGCUGCAUGCAAUUUUUGUAGUAAUGAAUAUAGUAUUGGAAAAAACCCUAAUUUUGGGCACAAUUAUAGGACUUCUCAUCUAAUUCGUCAUGUUUCUCUUUGUAAGAGUAUCAUGUUGAGCCUUUUUAAUCAAGAUGAACCUCCUAACAUGAUUAGAAUCAACCAAAAAACCCAUUGUGAUUUGCUUGUUGAAGCUAUUAUUGCAAAUGAUCUUCCUUUUAGCUUUGUUGAGUAUGAGAAAAUUCGAGUAUGGGUAAAUUAUUUGAAUCCUUAUGCUGAAAUGGUCUGUAGGAAUACCAUUGUGUCGGAUAUUGAGAAAAUAUAUAACAAAGAAAAGACUAAGCUUGAGGAUAUCGUGGGUAGGAUUCUAUAUAGAAUUUGUCUUACUUCAGAUGUUUGGACAACAUCUACUAGUGAAGUUAUAUUUGUUUAACCGCUCAUUUUGUUGAUGAACAUUGGAAGUUAACCAGUUGUGUUAUCAACUUUUGUCGAAUGAAAUCCCCACAUAAUGGUAUUGCAUUGGAAGCCACUUUGUUUGAUUGCUUAAAGCAAUGAGGAAUAGAUAAGAAAGUAUUUUCUAUUACUUUGAAUGCUUCUUCUAAUGAUAACAUGCAAGACCAUUUGAAAAAACAUUUGUGUGUACAAAGCAAUUUGCUAAGUGAUGGUGAGUAUUUUCAUGUUCGAUGUUCAACGCAUAUACUCAACUUAAUUGUUCAAGAGGGUUUAAAAGUGGCCAAUGAAGCACUCAAGAAAAUUAGAGAAAGUGUCAAGUAUAUUAAAGGUUCUGAUGGAAGCAUGAUUAAGUUUAAAGAUUGUAUUAAUGAUGCGGGAAUAAGCCAUACAAGUGGUUUAAGGUUAAAUGUGUCUACAAGGUGGAAUAGCACAUAUUUAAUGCUUGAAAGUGCCUUAAAAUAUAGAAAAUCAUUUGAGUUUUUCCAAGUGGCAGAUAUGAAUUAUAAACGUUGUCCAUUUGACGAGAAAUGGGAAAGGGGGGAAAGCAUAUGUGAGUUAUUAGAACCAUUUUAUGAAAUCACAAAAUUGAUAUCAGGAUCUUCAUAUCCAACUGCAAACUUGUAUUUUAUGCAAGUGUGGAAAGUACAGUGCAUCUUAGAAGAAAACCAAGAUAAAGUAGAUGAUGUUAUAAGGGAGAUAGCUACAAAUAUGAAGAAAAAAAAUUGACAAAUAUUGGAAAGAUUAUAGUGUGGUACUACCAUUUGCAGUUAUUCUUGAUCCGCGCUUGAAGGUUCCCUUUUUGAAGUAUUGUUACACUACUCUUAAUGCUUUCAAGAUGAGGAUGGAUACAAUGUUUCCACACUAUAAUCUUUCCAAUAUUUGUCAAUUUUUCUUUUCAUAUUUGUAGUCAUCUCCCUUAUGACAUCAUCUACUUUAUCUUGGUUUUCUUCUAAGAUGCAUUAUACUUUCCACACUUGCAUAAAAUACAAGUUUGCAAUUGGAUAUGAAGAUCCUGAUAUCAAUUUUGUGAUAUGAUAAAAUGGUUCUAAUAACUCACAUAUGCUAUCCCCCUUUGUCAUUCCUCGUUAGAUGGACAAUGUUUAUAAUUCAUAUCUGCCACUUGGAAAAACUCAAAUGCUUUUCUAUAUUUUAAGGCACUUUCAAGCAUUAAAUAUGUGAUAUUCCACCUUGUAGACACAUCUAACCUUAAACCAUUUGUAAGGCUUAUUUCCGCAUCAUUAACACAAUCUUUAAACUUAAUCAUCCUUCCAUCAAAACCUUUAAUAUACUUGACACUUUCUCUAAUUUUCUUGAGUGCUUCAUUGGCCACUUUUAAACCCUCUUGAACAAUUAAGUUGAGUAUAUACGCUGAACAUCGAACAUGAAAAUACUUACCAUCACUUAGCAAAUUGCUUUGCACACAUAAAUGUUUUUUCAAAUGGUCUUGCAUGUUAUCAUUUGAAGAAGCAUUAUCCAAAGUAAUAGAAAAUACUUUCUUAUCUAUUCCUCAUUGCUUUAAGCAAUCAAACAAAGUGGCUUCCAAUGCAAUAACAUUAUCUGGGGGUUUCAUUCGACAAAAGUUGAUAACACAACUGGUUAACUUCCAAUGUUCAUCAACAAAAUGAGCGGUUAAACAAAUAUAACCCUCACUAGUAGAUGUUGUCCAAAUAUCUGAAGUAAGACAAAUUCUAUUUGGAAACCUACCCAUGAUAUUCUUAAGCUUAGUCUUCUCUUUGUUAUAUAUUUUCUCAAUAUCCGACACAAAGAUAUUCCUAGAGACCAUUUCAGCAUAAGGAUUCAAAUAAUUUACCCAUACUCGAAUUUUCUCAUACUCAACAAAGAUGAAAGGAAGAUCAUGUGCAAUAAUAGCUUCAACAAGCAAAUCACAAUGGAUUUUUUUGGUUGAUUCUAAUCAUGUUAGGAGGUUCAUCUUGAUUAAAAAGGUUCAACAUGAUACUCUUACAAAGAGAAACAUGACAAAUUAGACGAGAAGUCCCAGAAUUAAGGUUUUUUCCAAUACUAAAUUCAUUACUACAAAAAUACUUUUUCAAUCUCAUCUUUAUUUUUACCAAUUUUUGUAAAAAAAUUCCAAACACAAUCUCAUAGAUGAUCAAUUUGAAUAAAAUGCAUCUAAACACAAAUCAGUCUCAUAAUAUAACGUAAAACACAAGACCAACGUUGAAGAAUUAUGCCAUAAACAGAUGACAAGUCAAUUUGAUUUUCUGUUUGUCAUUUGAAAUUAUGGAAUAAUUAUUCUCCCUUGAUGUGGAUGGUAGUAAUUCUUAAUUAAGUGUGAAUUAUAUAAGUUGAAUUUAAUUUAAAAUGUGAACAUAAAACCUUAAGUUAAAAAUUUGAAAUAAAAAAUUCCUUAAAACUUAAAAAUCAUGAAAUGUUUUACCACAUGCACUAAUCAUAUAUAGGUGGUUUUAUGCGGCAGUUCUAUAAUUCAGUUUCAAAAGAUGAUUACUUUGUUCUACGAAAUGGAUUCAUUGUAGUAAGCUAGUUUCAUUGUGAUAUGGUUUUUCUCCAUUUCUCAUACGCUCUGUUCAAAAUUUGAUUUUGAUUAUGGUAUUUAAUACUUAAUCUUGCUUUUUCUCUGCAAUUUUUUAUUCAUUUCUUGUGGAUUCUAGCUCACAAAGGGUUACAACUUUUAUUUUUUAAGUUUUUACAGCUCUCAACAUCCAAUUUGUUCUUAAUAACAAACAACAAUUCAUUAAACAAUGUAGAAUAUAUCAACAAACUAGAAUCAGUCAGAUCGUAUAUGGAAUAAUGGAACACUAGAAUGAGCCAGAUAAUUUUCUAUAUAUCCACAAACUAGCAAUGGAUGAUUAGUGUGUAAUCUUCUAAUUUUCUAUAUAUGUCUAAGUGUGGACAUAAACCGACGUACCGUAUAAUGGUAUAUGGAACACCAGAUAUUGUGCAACCUUUCUUGUUCAAACCUGCAAUCAAUAUUAAAUGGUAUUUAAUUUUUAUAUGAAAUGGUAAUUAAUUUUACAUGCUAAAUAUCAUAAUAUAAAAGUUAAAUGAAACAAAAAUUAAAUGUCAGAUCUUGCAAAAAUCAAAUAAAAUUACUACUACUGAAGUAGUAGCAGAAAUAUUACUAGGAUGUCAGUAAGUAGUAUAUCUAUAUAAUGGUUAUUCUAUGAACUACCUUGGACAGAGUGUUGGGGGCUGGCCACCUUAAUGGGUUGUUCAAGAAAUGGAAAAGAAUUUAAAUGUUUUGUAAAGCUAUUUUGAUAACGUUGGAUUUAUUAUCUAUUGGAAAAUUUAUAAUCUAUGGGAUGUUAUCUAUUUAUGAUUGUGUUUAAAUUCGGAAAAGUGAGGAGUAGGAAGAUAAAAAUGUGUUUUUUUAUGUGUUUGGUUAAGUAGAUGAAUUGACUUAAAAGUCAGGAAUUUGUUUUGGUUGUGACCGUAAAUGCUUAUCAUUGAUUUUGAAAAUGAGUAAUUGAAUAUGUGAUUUUCUUCUUUUGCUAA